CAGCAUAGGUGGUGCUAAGGAAGCAUGCUCAAUCCGGCAUAGUUGCCAUGGCUUGUUUGUGGAGCGAAACAAUUCAACUCGCAAAUUUUGCGUAAGAAAUCCUUCGACUAGACAAGUACAUGACUUGCCUGAUUCACAUCCAGGGAUUAGGACAAUGGUGAUAUAUUUUGUACCAUCUGUUUGUGAUUAUAGAGUGGCCUCCAUCUACUAUUAUGGAGAACAUUUUUGUGAAGUUCUUUCUCUUGGAAGCAAAGACCUUCCUUCUUGGAAACUCCUAGAGGUUGCUUCUUUGCGUGAUCUCGGCACGAGGGGUCAAAAGUGUUGGUUUUGGUCGAAUAAUUAAUGGGGUUAUCUACUGCUUAGCAAUCGCAGAGGAUGGAUUCUGGAGUUCUGGACUAGUUUGCGUUGAUAUGGUAAAUGAAGCCUUUGCAAGAGUCGACGUUCCGCAGAAUCUCUUUUCAUCUUGGGAAAAGCUAGACAUGGAAACUUAUGGUUUUAUGCGAAGAAUAAUGAGCUCAUUCACUCCAAUAUUACCUCUCAGAAAGUCUGCGCAACUGGCCCCAGGGGAAGAAGUGUUUUGUGUGUCUAUAAACCAACCAUGGUCACUUUUCAAGGAACCCAGAGAACUCCCGGGCUAGAACUAGCCUUGUCGAGGUAUCGUCUUUACUUCUUGCUUCUGUAUUUCAUAGUUUUUGAUUCAGGCGUUGUCAAUAGGUUUGUCUCUUAAUUUGCUUGAAUUCAAAUAAAUUCCCUUCAGAUAGCACUGAUCAAACAGAAGUGUCUCAUAAAUUAGGUGCAAAGCUUAAAAUUACAUGCACAAACAGUUCAUUAGAUCCCUUUAACCAAGCUGGGCAAGCACAUCUUUGAGUGCGCUAACAGUCUCAGCAUAGUACUUCUCUGCUUCAGGGGUGCUCUUGAUCUUUGCAGCAUGGUCCAGCUGAACAGAAGAAACAAAAGCAAGUCAGCGUAAAAAAAGUUAAAAUUCACGUAAUUUUCACUAAGUGCAAUAAAAACUCGUGAUUGUUGUUGUCAUUGUCAUCGCAGCAAGAAAGAUUAUAAUUUACUCACUCCGCUGAGGGUCUGGAAGAGCUUGCCAGUGAGAUCUUGGAGGGGCUUCUUCUGGUCCUUGGGCUUUGCGGAAAUGACAGUGUUGAGGUCAUAGCGCAGGUACUCUGCCUUGAGGCGAAGGUCGUUUUGGACGUAAGGC